rnacentral:rRNA from 1 species
UACGUAGGGUGCGAGCGUUAAUCGGAAUUACUGGGCGUAAAGUGUGCGCAGGCGGCUUCGCAAGUCGAGUGUGAAAUCCCCGAGCUUAACUUGGGAAUUGCGCUCGAAACUACGGAGCUGGAGUGUGGCAGAGGAAGGUGGAAUUCCACGUGUAGCGGUGAAAUGCGUAGAGAUGUGGAGGAACACCGAUGGAGAAGGCAGCCUUCUGGGCCAACACUGACGCUCAUGCACGAAAGCGUGGGGAGCAAACAGG